UUGAAGGGCCAGAUCACUUCAUUCUCAAAGCAGCCCUACGACAUAGGUCCUACCGUUAUCCUAUUUUAUAGGUGUUUGAGGUGACACACUGUUACACAAGGACCAUGUGACUUCAGGGACCCUGGAACUCAGGAAGAGAAAGCCCUCCCUCAUGAAGCACAUGCCACGCCAUCUGAUCACAGCGAGGACCUUCCAUGAUGUGUAAGUUGACUGCAGAGUGAAGAAGCCAAAAGCUAGCGUGGACAGGAUGGCCUCUCACAGGUGGACAUAGCAACCCCAGGAAACACCUCUGACCCAGACGGAUGGGAACUGGACCAGCCUUCUGACAAGAAGAGUUGCUCGCAGGAGGAGAGCAUGAAGGAUUACAACCGCUACUGCAUCUGGCAAGAGCAUUGAGGGGCGGAUAAAGUCCUUGGACAAGUUUCUGGUGGGCAGGAUAAUGGCUCCAGAAGGUAUGAGCAUUUUUGCAUGUCCAGUAAUGAAGGCUCAAAGAUGGAGCUGAAUUCCCUGGCAUGGGGUUCCUGGAUGGUUUUAAGCCACCAUGUGACUGUAGGGAACCCAACCUGGGUCCUCUGUGAAAACAGCAGGAAAACCUAGGGCAGCAGCAGGGGCACUGGAAAGCUGUGGGAGAGCGCUGAGGUGCUGUCAGCAGGAACAGUGCAGGUACAGUUCUUGCCUACACUUGUUUCUCCCAGCACUCCACCAUCUGAAGUUUCCAUAGUCUCUUGAACAGCGCCACCUGCUGGAGACAGAGUCUUCAGGCACACGAACCUCUCUCAGGGUUGGGAUUCCACAUCCAAACCGCAGAAGCUGGUCUUGCCAGCCUGCUGUCAGCCUCUCAGCUCUGGCCACUCCAUCCAAGGACCGCUGCUGUCUGCUAGCAGGGUGAGGAAGAUUUAAGAUGUCAUCUGUCCCCAUCAGUGCCCUAAGUAUACAGGGCUGAGUGGUUGCUCUCAAGCUGUUCCCACCGGGCAAUGGAACCAUUCCUUACUUACUGGUUUAUUAACAAAAAAACAUUUCCUAACUCACUAUUGUAAUAA
rnacentral:lncRNA from 1 species